rnacentral:rRNA from 1 species
AGCGAACGCUGGCGGCAGGCUUAACACAUGCAAGUCGAGCGGGCAUCUUCGGAUGUCAGCGGCAGACGGGUGAGUAACACGGGGGAACGUACCCUUCUGUUCUGAACAACUCUGUGAAACUGGAGCUAAUACCGGAUACGCCCUUAUGGGGAAAGGUUUACUGCCGAAGGAUCGGCCCGCGUCUGAUUAGGUAGUUGGUGGGGUUACGGCCUACCAAGGCGACGAUCAGUAGCUGGUCUGAGAGGAUGAUCAGCCACACUGGGACUAAGACACGGCCCAGAAUCCUACGGGAGGCAGCAGUGGAGAAUAUUGGACAAUGGGCGCAAGCCUGAUCCAGCCAUGCCGCGUGAGUGAUGAAGGCCUUAGGGUUGUAAAGCUCUUUUGUCCGGGACGAUAAUGACGGUACCGGAAGAAUAAGCCCCGGCUAACUUCGUG